GCUUACGGCCAAACCAGCCUGGGUACGCCCGAUCUCGUCUGAUCUCGGAAGCUAAGCAGCGUCGGGCCUGGUUAGUACUUGAAUGGGAGACUGCCUGGGAAUACCAGGUGCUGUAACCA
rnacentral:rRNA from 1 species